rnacentral:lncRNA from 1 species
UGGGAUGAGCAAUGCAGGGAACAGGGAGCUCAGAUCAGUCCUUGGGCAGGAAUUGAACUUGGGAGAUCAGCUGGUCUGGCCCCAGAGAGCACCACUGAAAUCAGAAUAAUGACCUGGCCUGUGCCCACUGCUCCUUAUUCAUUCCAAAGCACGUGUUGGUUCUGUUUUAGGAACUUAAAAUAACUUUAAACGAAAUAAGUCACCAUUUCCUUCUUCUUUUUCCCUUUCAGGUGGUGGAAUUGCCUCUCUACCCGUGUGCUGAGCUGUGGCUGCAGGGACUGUCAGGCCUUGUUGGCUGUGGUGGAAUUGCCUCUCUGUCCGUGUGCUGAGCUGCGGCUGCAGGGACUGUCAGGCCUUGUUGGCUCUGUUGCCUGGUGUCAUUUCCCUGCCUGAGCUGGCUGUGGGUUGGUGUGGGACGGCGAGGCCGGAGAGAGCGAGCGGAGGAGCCUCGGGCUGGAGAGGGGCAGGAGAAAGGCCCUGUGGGCAAAGGGACCUCCCCGUGUGCCCGGGGCCCUGCGGGGGACAGGAUGGACACUCUGGGGGCACUCUGAGGGGUGAGUGGAGAGCCUGGGGGCAGAAUGGGAGUUCACCUCCGGGGAAUAAAGAGGGCACCUUUGUGAGGGAAGAGCUGAGGUCACGUGUUUAACCACAUUGGCCAAAGUUGUGUUUGCACAAAUUGGGGCCAGAAGUGAAGGUCCAUCCAAAGCAAACCCUGCUCAACCUCCAAAUCCCAGGAUAAGUUCUACAGGCUGCUAAUGGAGGGACUAAAACUACACAUAAACAGAGCCAAGAGCACUAAUAAGGUCCCUGGGAAUCCCAUUACAUUGUUGUCAUAGAGUUUUUAACAGAUUUUGAAGUUUUUUAUAACAGCAACAUGUUUCUUCCUAUGGAUUUUUCCCUCUAC